ensembl:lncRNA
CACCCCUUCCAGCCCUCAUUUAAGGGCUGGCAGUGGAGGUGAGGGUGUCUUGCUGGAGAUCCCUGUGUGCCUGAGGCCUUCUGAAGUGGCUGGGCCCAUCGAAUUCUCAUUGGAAACAUAUGAAGUGGCAAGAAUUGGAAACAUUCUUCUGAUACAGCAGAAUUGUGAUAGUGAUGUUCUGAAUAUAUAGCUUAGGAAUGUUACAGUCAAAAAGGUGGGUGUUUAAUUGAAGAAAUGAUGGUUGGAUGAAACAGUCAUCCAAAGUUGGGUUUACUUCAACACUUCCUCCAAUGAUCCAUCUCUGUUACCUUGUGGGAUGCUGGAGAUUGUAGGCUUCCAGUAUUUGUGGCUCUCUGGCCUGGAUACUGCAAAUGUUCCAUAAUUCUGUUUUCAAAGCUGGAAUGGAAGUGCAAAUAAAGCUGUCAGAAGUGAAGGCUCGUGGGACUUGCCAUGCCCUGCUAUGCUUUUCAAGGACUGCUGCACCUCUAGGUUGAAGUGGAGAUGGAUGAGUUUUGCACUGAUAGCACUCAGCCAGAUUUCAGAGGGACAUGUGGAGUGUCCUUCUUUCCUGGAGCAAUCAAGGCUAUUCCUGGAAUGAGCUCCAGCACAAGGAGUUGUUCAGGUUGGGGCAAUUGGCUGCUUAAAAUAUUUUUUCAGCUAAAGCUAAGUCCUUCAGGGUUUUCUGAAGCUAUAUUUCUCAUAAUGGCUUUUUUUAAUUGGAAGGAGUGGGGGGAGAGGCAGGAAGGGUGCCCUGCUCUGUCUCAGAUUGGGCUGCUGAUUCAGAUUUCCUUCACAGUAACAAAUUUAAUCAGCAUUCCUGGCUAAUAAGAUGUUAUUGUACAUCUAAAGCUAACAAUUUCCUCAAGGCGCUGAAAGACUGAUGCUGCCUUUGUGUUCUUUUUUGUCUCAUUUUGUCCUGAGAGUCAAUGUUGAUGUUCUGUAAUGUAUAUUUAGCAACACUUCUGUACUUAUCCUUACCCUAGGACUUGUGUUAUGUUAUGGUAGUAACCUAGUAUGCUAUUUGGUGGGAUUACUAAUGCCUCACAGGAACAGUGUGUGCCCUUACCUAUGUUAUUGUGUUAUUUUUCCAGCUGCUGCUUUUCAUUUAAAAUCUCUCUUCAAUCAUCUGCAACGUUGCUGCUUUUUAUAAAGUAACAAAACAUGAUGCACGUUUUUGAUUAAAUUUAGUUGUUCUAUGCAUAGCUGACAGGCUGAUAUCUCAUCCUAUCAUACUGAAAUAAACAUCUUUUCCUCCCAUCAGUUUCUCAUAAAUCCUAUACUUGUUUUGUGUAUUCAGAGGAGUCCUUUUGAACCUUGCAUUUGUUAUUUUAAAGUAUGAGCGCAUGUUUUGUAGGGGACAGUGAUAUCCUGGUAAGUCAUUUUGGCUUAAUUGAUUUCACACGAGAGUCAUGGGAUCUAAAUAUGCAAACAGACAAAUCUUCUGGCUUCGUGUCCCAUAGAAUUGAAAUGCAGGAGGACAAACUUUAGAUCAUGGAAUUGAGCAACUGUUUUUCUAUUUCAUGUUGUUGUAUGCAACUGAAUUAUAGAUUGUUGUCUCUGACCUUUGGGGAAAAUCACAGAACCAAAUUCUUUUGGCUUAUGAAUUGCUAUGCAAAUGUAAUUAUGUAUGUGUUGUGUGUUGAUUCUUUGGCCUCUAGUUCUUUAAGUGAACACUGUUUACUUAUUAUUUUGUUAUGCUUCGGGUUAGGCUGCUGGUACUACAUUUGGUUCAUUAAUUCCUUUCUUGCCCAACAACAUGUAAUCCAGUAUUUAUUAAGGCUUUACAUGCUAUGGCAUCUUCCCACAGUCCAAGCUUCAUUUUUGUAGUUGUUACGGAUAGAAUAAAGCUGUAAAAUAAACCAGUUGUGAUUUGCUAUGAAAAUGUUGCUGUGGAAGAAUGCAAACAACUACUGACCCC